rnacentral:rRNA from 1 species
CGUGUAGGCGGUCUGUUAAGUCUGAUGUGAAAGCCCCGGGCUCAACCCGGGAAGUGCAUUGGAUACUGGCAGACUUGAGUACGGGAGAGGGAAGUGGAAUUCCGAGUGUAGGGGUGAAAUCCGUAGAUAUUCGGAGGAACACCGGUGGCGAAGGCGGCUUCCUGGACCGAUACUGACGCUGAGACGCGAAAGCGUGGGGAGCAAACA